ensembl:misc_RNA 7SK 7SK RNA
CGAUGUGAGGGUGAUCUGGCUGAGUUAUGUGUCACCCCAUCGAUUGUUAGAGUUGAUCCAGCUUAUCUGGCUGGUGAGGUGGGUGUCCCCUUCCUCCUCACCACUCCAUGUGCAUCCCUCCCAAAGCUGCAUACCAGGUCAAAGAGGACAACCACCCCGACAGAGGAGGACCAUUUUCUCAUUCAAAGGUAUACGAGUAACUGCACUCCCUUGCUACAACCUCAAAACAAGCUCUCAAAAUAAAUUUUUCCUCUUUUAACCUCAGGCAUUGUGUUCCAGCAAUGAGAAAAUGACUGAGUCACCCAACUCCUCAUU